GAAGGGGCUACAAAGAGAAAUAGCAUUUACUGAAAUGGGAGCGGGUGACAUAAAGUUAUGUCCUGUCUGAGAUUUGGUCUGUGGAAGACCAAAUGGAGGCAGCACACAUCCUUUGUGGAUUGAUGACCUUGGCAAACUGAUUAAAUUCUUUGACUGGUUGGGGUACACCAAGAUACCCCUGAAGUCCAUUCCAAACUUGAGGAAAUAUCACCACUUCAGAACUUCAGCUGACAACCCAGUGAGUGAAUUCAUGAGAGAGCAUGCCAAGGACAGUGAGAUUGAUGUUAAAAUUGACAACCCCACAACAAUGGCUUUUCCAUGGAGAGUACCCCGAACGCAUCCAACUAAAAGGACUUGAUGCAAAAAGGCUCUGA